AGGCCCGCGUACCGCAAAAAAAAAAAAAAAAAGAAGUACAGAGCUCUGAGGAAUGUUGAACAUUUCGAAUAGCGUGGUUUGCAAGUCUGUGGCCAGGCUCUGCCUCUGUUUGAAUCUGCCCUGGGCUUCAAGGCCUAUCUGAAACUGCCCCUUGUUAAUUUCCAAGCUGCACGCGUGUGCCUUCUCCUGCUUCUGAGCUUCUGUAAUGUUUCAUGUAUAAUGGUUCAGGAGUCUUUGGUUUGGUGGUCUCGAACUUUAAUUAAACUCCAUGUGCUUUCCCUCUAAAAAGCAGGUUUCUUGCGUCUAGGCUGUGUCUUGGUCCCUUUUGCACACUUCUGCUUUACCUAGUAUAGUUCCUCAUAUGUGUUUUCUCCCUGAAACCGUGCUGUCCCCCACCCAUCUUUGGGCAUGCUGGUAUCAUCUUGGUCAGGAACAUUGUCUCCCCACUGCAGGGCUACAUCCUCCUAUCUCUAUGAUUCAGCUCAAGCAUCCCCUCCUCCAGGAAGCCCUCCCGACUCUCUGCCCCUUGGCUUCUGCCCUAGGCUUGUUUCCUUCCAUGGUACUCUGUCUUUUUUACCACGUUUAAUACAUUGGUUUAGAAUGACCUGUUUAUAUCGAACACUAGCCUGUGAGCCCCUCGAGGGUAUAGAUCAUGUCUUAUUCUUUUCUUUUCCCUCGGUGCCAAGGACAUCUCAGCCUGCCUGGGCUCUCCCUGAUUAUUAGGUGAAUACAUGAAUGCCUGACUCCUCUGGUGACAAGUAACAGAAUUGUUCUGGAGCUGGCUUGCUCAAGGAGACUUGAUCACAGGGUACAGGGGCUGAGGUUCAGAAGCCACUGGGGGUAGGGCUAGAAUCUGGGACAGGACUAAAGAGACUCUGGCCCCCUUUAUCUUUGACCUGCUCUGUGUGUCUGCUGUUUCUCUCUCUGCUGUCCGGGUUGCUCUGGUGGAAGAUGCCUUACCCUGAGGUCCUAAGAUUAUCUGGUACAGGUCCAGCCUCUGGAGACAGUCUCUUGGCCCCGUUUCCUAAAUCCACGGGAAAGGGCCUGUGGUCCAUCUUGGGUCUGGUGCUGCCUGUGGAUCGAUCAUCCAUCCCCAUGGAGACAGACUCAUGUUCCCCAGGAGCCUCCCUGUGUCCACGCCAGCGCAGGGCCGGUGAGCAAGGGACACUGUACAGGGGCCACUGUGAACGGGGAGACACUCUCAGAAGCUCCCACUCCAUUUGACAAACCUGGUGACUGGACAUGCCCUGCACAGGAGCCAGGAGGGGUACCAGGCGCCCUCCACCGUGAACUGCAUCUGAGUGGUCUCCCUUCGCUGCUUAUUUCUGGUUUCUGCCAGCCGGUCUGAGGGUGGUAUGGCCGGCGCUUUGCGAUGAGGUGGGCAGAGUGGGAAUGCCCCACUGGCAGCGUCUGGCAUAGCCAGGUGUUUCCUUGGGAACAUUCCCCAUCAAGUCUAAUUCUGGAAGUUGACGGGAAGUAGGCUUUGCCCGGCUCCUUCCCCUGCACCUGAGUCCAGUGAGAAGGCUGGGGGCGGGCAGGGGGCGGCUGGAGCAGCUGUGUGUAUUCGCUCUGAUAGCUUGGAAAGAUGUAUGCGUCCCCUGGGGUGUCCAACAUCUGCGUCUGUAGACUGAGUUGGGCUCUGGCCAGACCCGGUGGCAGUCGGGUGAAUCUGGAUAAAGUCGGGGUCGGCAGCUGCCAAGGCUGACUGACUUCAGGAUCAGAAGGGAGGCACACCUGGACUUGAGCGUCCGCUGGAGGAAAGCGUGCCAGUCACCUGGUCGACACUCCCCUCCCCAGUACUCAGAAAAGAAAAGCGAGGUUCUGGGUGGUGACGGGGGUUAUACCAGGUCACCCACUGGUAGCUGAGAAGCCUUUAGAACGCAGGCCUCCUGGCUCCCAUCCCUGUCUAGAGCGUGCUUCACCACGCCAAGCUUCUCCCUCAUCCUGAAACACUGCCCUUAUCUGUCCUCUGAGCCUUAACACCCCUGAGGAGCUUGCUGGCUGGGCACCUUGGCACGGUGUCCUCCUGUGUAACAUGACAGUGAUGGUAGCCACCCUACGGGAUUGUUAGGAGUGUUGAAAUGCAGCAGGACACACAGUACCCUCGCGUCAGUGCCUGGCGCGUGGUAAGCACUCAGUAAACAUUAGGUGUUACUGAGUCACAGCGAUAACGGGUAAAAUGUGUGCUCUCUUCAAAGAGGCGACACUGUGACUUACAGUCUUAGCAUCUUAGAGAGGAUGCUUCCUGAGAAGUGUUCUAGGAGAUCAGAGGCCCAUUGCAGGUGCUUUAAGUCUUCCAUUUGUAAAGCUUACAUACAUGGCAAUCCCCUAGGGCCCCUGUUAAAAUUCGGAUUCUGAUUUAGUAGCUCGGGGGUGGGGCCUGGGGUUCUGCAUUUCUAAUAUGCUCCCUGAUGAUGUUGGUCCUUGGGGACCAGAGUUUGAAUAGCAAGGAGGCGCAGGGACUGUAGAUUUCAGAUUGUACCUUGUCAGAGCUUUAACCCGGGCUGCUAAAGAAAGAAAAGCUACAGAGAAUGCUACCUGCCUGUGCCAUUUUCUCAUUUUUAAAUUAGCCUGGCUUCAUUUCUAGGUGAUGUUGGGGAUAUUGCUAGAAGUUUAUAUUCAGGAUGUGAUGAAGUACCUUAUAAUCUCAGUAGUGAGACACAGAUGUCCUAUGAAUUAUUUGCUCUCCUCGCUGGGUCACUGGAGGUGGUUUCACUCCCCUUAUCACGAGUCAGCUCGUUACUGAGGGCAGCCCUGUGGCAGCCAACCACCCAUAUCUAUCCUCCCCUUCCUUACUAACCAAACCUCAAUUUUAUUUGAGGCAGGAGUGUGUUAACAAAACUUUAUUUCCCAGUCUUGAUGCAGAGGAAUGGACAAUGAGAUAGAAGCAAAGUCAUUAGGUAGGGCUUACAGAAAAGGUUUUUAUUCACGGAGGAUUUACUCCACCGUCAGGUAACCUUUCCUCUUACUUCCUGCCUGGAACACAUACAGAAUGACUGGAACUCAGCAGCCAUCUUAGGACAUGAGGCAACCUCAAGGAUGGAAGUCACAUGGUGAGGAUGGUGGGGCAAAAAAACAGAGCUGUGGCACAUUGAUGGUACCACAAGCCCUUCCCUACUUAACUCCAGACUUCCUUUACAUUAAAACAAACAAAAAAUCCGGUUGUUUCAGCCAGUAUUUGACAGGUUUCCUAUUACGUGAAGGGUGCUAAACCCAGUGGUAACUGAUCCCACUAGAGCAGGUGCAGUUUAGCAGGGCAGACACGGGUUUAAAUCUGUGUCUAAAACUGUCAUCCUUCUGAGCAUCCUUUGUGGGAUCCCCUAGUCAUGUAGAGGCAGGGGAACUGGAUUGAGGGUCAGAAGCCCAGGGUGCUCAGCUCAGCUUUGCCAUUUCCUAGUGGUAUGAUCCUGUUCCUUUAACCUCAGUCCCCACCCCCGUAAAGUGGGGCGAUGGAUGACAGAGUCCAACAUAGUGCGAGGUGCAGAACUCACUCUGCCGGUGUUGGGUGAGGGGUGGGUCUCAGGAUGGAGAGGAUGCAAAGACCAACUGGCUGCUGUGAGCAGCGAGGGGCCGUGCAGGGGUGCAGCUCGGGUGCAGGCACUGAUGCACCUUUCAGUGCUUCCAUUAGAGGUGCCCACCUUGGUGCCCCGAGGGCCACGGAGCACUGCAGCCUCUGCUGGAACCGAAAGGGCUUGGACUAAGUGCCCCGUCUGCAUGAAUGAGAGGCUGGUUUUGUUCAGAGGAAGUGGGGGUGGCACAAGUAGCCUUCAGCCGGCCCUUGGGAAGCCUGCCUCAGGCCUUCCUCCACCAGCUCCUGAGCUUUAAGCCGAGGCCUGCGAGGUGGCUGGCAGCAUCUCGGCUCCAGCACUGCUUUGCUGCUGAAACCCACAGGACUGUGCCCCAGCUCCUAACUUUGGAGCAGCCGGAUGGGCUGGGGGCGUCAGCAGUGAGUGUGCAUUCUCUCCUGCUGCCUGGAACCUGCAGUGAGAUGUCUUCAACCACAGCACAGCUGUCCACACCUCCUUCAUCCAAACCAGAGCACCUUUUUGCUGCCACUUUCUCUCAACCGUCUUCCACACCUGAAGCCAUCUCUCUCCAUCUUCCUCUCUUGCCCACCCCAAUUCCUUACGUUGGGCACCUGCACUAUUUCCACUCACGGUGCCAGCUGGUCCCUGGAGGGCAAAAACCAUGUCCUUACGAUGAACUGAAACUAUGAAGAGGCAUCUUAUCUCCUUGCACACAGAGAAUGGAGAGCAGAGGCCGAAAUAGGACUGCUGGCAGCUGGCGAGGGGACCUCUCACAGCUGGGCCACGUGGGGCUCCAUCUUUCUGACCAGCCGCUAGAUGGUCUGAAAAUGCCUGCAUUUCCUUACUGCAGCCUCUUCCUAGAUUUCUUGAUAUGAUUGAAACAAGGUCCGUCUGAGUGGACAUGGUCCACGUGGGGCAGUUUCCUUGCUCAGGGAUGACAGAGGCAACCAGCACAGCUGAAGAGACGGGCUUGCCGCCUCCUGGGUGGAGACUCUGAAAUCACAGGCCUCAUAAGGAUGUAGCCUCGCGUGGGACCCCCCUGUGAGACCCGCCCUGGACAAGGUGUCAAUGACAACCAUCCUGCUUCAGGCUGGUUGGUUACAUUUUCCGACCCUGGAGAAGGGGCCUUUUGUAGGAGACGUCCUACGCAUCCCAGCAGUGCACUCACCUCUGGUCACCAGAGCUGUAUGUAUGCUGUAGGGGUGCCCCCUAUGUGGGCUGCCUGGGUUCUCCUGUUGUGGUCAGCUGACUGCUGCUGGCAGUCUAGUAGGUAUGGCUGGCCCCUGGUCCAGUUCAUUGCCAGGCUGCUGGUUGGUAGGGCUGGGUCCUGAGACAGUUGGCUGUGGAAUCUCAGAGUGUCCUAGGGCUAGGGCUGGCCCACUGGUGGGCAGAGCUGCAUUCUGGGGGUGGGGACUGGGGUUCCCAGAUCUAGUGCUGACCUGCUGGUGGGCAGGGCCAUGCCCCAGGGGGUCCUGGGGCUGGUGCUUGCCCACUGGUGUGUGGGGCUGGUCCUGGGGUUAGUGUUGGCAGUCUGGUGGGCAGAGCUGGAUCCUGGUGUCCGGCUGCAGGGAUUGGGGGUCCUGGAGCUGGUGCUGGCCCACUGGUGGGUGGGUCCCAGGGCUAGUGUUGGCACACUGGUGUAUGGGGUUAGGUCUUGGGCCCUCUGGACAGGGCUGUGUCCCUGGGCAGCUGUGGGCUCAGGGGGUCUUAAGGCAGCAGCCCUGCUGGUGGGCGGGUCUGUAUCCCCACCCUGUUACUUGCGUGGCCUGAGGUGUCCCAGUGCUAUUCCUGACAGGCUGACUGGCAGAGCAGCUAAGAAGCUGGUGCUAAGAAGCUGGUGGAGAGGAUUCCAAAGUGGUGCUUGCCAGCCCCGGUGUUCUCCUGGUAGACAAGCUCCCCAAAAUGGCUGCCACAGUGUCUGUGACCCCAGUGUGAGUUCCAGUUGCCUCCUGCCUUUCUGGAAGGCUCUCCAAGAUCAGCAGUGGUAGAAGAUCUUUUCUGCUAGAUUCCAGUCUCUCUCAUCAGCAGUGGCUCUGCAAACAGUUGUAAUUUUGUCGUUCCCAUGAGAGGAGGCCAGAGCCUGUUGGAGCUGUUCUUACUCGAGUCCUUUCACUCCCCGAGGCAGCUGUAGUCAAGUUCUGACUUAAGGUCAGAGAACUCUGGAGUGAGGAGGCGGCAGAACGAUGGAGAAGCUCUUCGCCUGCAACCUGCACUCCUUUCUGUAAACUGCUUGCUGCCGCUCUCUGCUGUGGCCCCGCCGGCUUGGCGUCCCUCUUCCUGCACAGCUUGCUGUUUUGCUGAUGCGCUGACCUACCCCUUCCCCCGACCCCUCCCCCAGCCAAACCAAGAAUUUUCGGCGGUUCCUGCUGGUGGUCGAUAAAACAACACAGGAGUCAAGGAAAUGAUCUGUUUUUAAGACUUUUUUUUUUUUGGUUUGUUUUUAAAGAAACUGCAUACAUCAUUAGAGACGAACAAUAAUUUAAAUACCAUGCAGUUUCUGUAUGUACAAAACCUAGGCCAUAGAUAGAGACCCAGUUUAACUUGUGUUCUCUUCACACGGUCUUCCUCAUACGGCCGGUGGCUGUUAAAGCAGAACACAGGAGAGUUCUCUGAUACAAAGACAGACUAGGUACAGACACCCGGGAAGCAACUGGAAAAAAGCAACCGGCUUGGGGAUCAACAGACAACUGGGGAGAAAAAGUUGUUUAAGGUGACCUUCGCCCACUGGCUGUGCACAGGGAGGGCCUGAAAUUCCAUUCACCGAAGCACACACCAUGAUUUUCAUUCGGCAAAUAUAAAUACACGUUCAUAAGCAGGAGAAAAAUAAGCUCGGAGGUUUUCAUCACAUCAACCGUCACGUCGUUUGGUUUCUCUAACCUGACAUAAAGGCUAAAGUUUUACAGAGCUUUGAGGGCCUUUGGGGAGGGAAAUAUCAACAAUUUCGAAACACUAAGUAGGCUGAUGGCCGUCUCUUCUGUCAUGGAUGGGGUGGGGACUUUGGGGCGAUUUGAUUUCGAGAGGGGAACAUUUUGAGAACUCUCAACGUUUUUCUUCUGAUGCUAAUGCAAAUGAAAAAGGCUCUAACUGCAGCUUUUCCAGAAAAGGGAUGCUUUGUAAACCAGCCAGCCCAUCUUCUCUUUCCCCCUUAAUAUGGAAUCGUCAUCUUGGAAAGAAAGAAACACAUUUUUCCAUUGUCAUAACAACGUGGCAAAAAGGAAAUUUGGAUAGAUUUCUAUAAAGACCUCAAGACUUCAAGGAAGGAAAGACAGCAGAGGGCUCAUCCUGUGGCCUACGGAAGUUGCGGAGCUGCUUACAGCGGGCUUGGAAGAGCCCAGCUCGCGGGUGGUGACACGGGAGGGGCACCCUUCCACUUGCAGGGAGUUACUUCGGGAAAAGGCUGCCCUGCAGGAGAAGUGGAAACUGCGUUCGGCUUCUUCCACGCACAAAGCGGCUGCAACCGUAGGGCACUUUGGGCGGGAACCCGGGACCGCUGGCUAGCUGCGGGGAACUCGAUUUAGGCAUCGUGUUCCCGGGGAAUCUGAAAGGCCUGGAACCACGGCCAGCAGAGAAGCCACUGGCCUCUGCAAGGCGUCCAGGCAGUGGAGUGAGGUCCCUUAGGACUCGCUCCUGGGCCAGGGGCAGGCUGACUGUUGCUCCAGGCCACCGCGAGCCACAGGAAGCCCAGACUCAGAUCCUGGCCCGGCGGGCACCUCAGCCUGGAAGACUCGCCCGCCGUGGAGGAGUUACACGGCAGAGCCCCACGUCCCUCGGCGUGCCAUCUGCACUUUCAAAGGUCAGUAAGCCUUUCGGGAAGACGCCAUUUACAGCCACGCUACAGCCCUGGCCACAUCUUCCCUGAAUCAGUCACCCCACCCACGGCCGUAGCUAUGCAGAUUCACCAUUCAAAGAAAAAAGGAUGGGGUGACACGUCCUCCUGGGGCUGGGCGCCAGGCGCUGCGAGGAAAGCGUGCGCCAGCUUGGCACCAGCCGGCGGGCACUGACUGGAACGCUGCCCCGAGCUCCCUGCCAAGUGCACGGUGACGCCGGCCACAGGGGCCGUGAGCGCCAGCGGAAAAGGAACUGGCCUCACCCAUGGCUGUGGAGCCCAAGAGUAAAUUGAUCCCACGCGUUUUGGGGUGGGGACCAGUUAACUCUUUUUUUGUGAAGCCCAAGCUUGGCAGCUUUCUAAAGCCUGGGCCUCUGUGGUGGGGAGCAAGCCAUCACUGGGAGAGCUGGUAGGAACUACAGGAUCAUGGCAGGAUGCCAGGCAGAGCUGCAUGGCUGAGGGCCCUACAGGCUCCAUCAGGAAGGAAACCGGAAGCAGCUCAAGCGGCCUCCUUCAGAGCGCAGUCAGGGUUUGGAGAGGCCCCUCCUCCACUGCACAUCCUACCCUCACCUACCCUGUCACCGCUGCUUUCCUGUGGUCCCGAGAGAGGAGGGUGGUCAGAGGUACAUCUCCAGUCACCCUCACCAGCAUCAAGGGGGAGAGGAAGGAUGCUCCCCAGAGAAGCAGGCGUGGAAGGUCCAGCACAGCAGGUGUGGCUGGCGUCUGCCCAGCGCUGGGGCUUCUGCACAGACUCUUCAGUGCAAAGCAAGCCUGGAAGGCCCUCAGGUGGUUCUGGAGGACCAGUCCACCAGCGGCUGGAAAUUCAGCCUUUCAGGAAUGGUUUCUGGCCUGCAGGCAUCGGUCCUCGACUCAAAGGCCAUUAACGGCCAAGCCACCCGGUCACCAGC